rnacentral:rRNA from 1 species
UACGGGGGGGGCAAGCGUUGUUCGGAAUUACUGGGCGUAAAGGGCGCGUAGGCGGUCAGACCAAGUCGAAUGUGAAAUUCCAGAGCUUAACUCUGGACGGUCGUUCGAUACUGGUCGGCUAGAGUGUGGAAGAGGAUGUCGGAAUUCCCGGUGUAGCGGUGAAAUGCGCAGAUAUCAGGAGGAACACCAGUGGCGAAGGCGGUGCUCUGGGCCGGAACUGACGCUGAGGAGCGAAAGCGUGGGGAGCAAACAGG